CUUUUUUUAUUGGAUGGGGCCGGGCAUGGAUGGGUGGCGGUCGUUCCGGAAAACCCGACCUUGACCAGAGUUCAUCCCCUCGCACCACUACCUGGCAUCUCCCGGAGCUGAAAUUGCUAAGGUUAUCGGCGGCGGCGGCUACAACGCGGGGGCCGAUUGCUGAUGGAAGAUGCAGGCUUGAGUUCUUGCUGGACGCGGUGGACCGUUCCCUCUCAAGGAGGAGUUCGAGGACAGCCUUGAAAAUCCAGAUCCGGUACCUUUGGCGUUGUUGACGACAGACCAAGCUAACCCUGCGGUUCAGGCGGACUCGAAUGUUGGAUCUGGAUGCGGGCAGCAAAUUGGCGGCGGUGGUACUGAGAGGGCGAACUGCAGCGAGCGGCGUCGUCGAGGGGCUUCGCCGACAGCAUCCGCAGUUAACGGACAGGGUCGACCCUCAUGCCCCUUGUUGGUCUAAGAGGUUUCCCCUUCAGAAGGAGUUGACCAAACAGCCUGGAACAUCCAUAUCCAGUGCCCCUAGUCCUGUUGCCACCACACGAGGCGAAGCCGACAGUGCUGGAGGAUUCGAACUGCGCGUCCGGCUGUGUGCAAGAGGUCGGUGGCCGCAGCCAGUGAAGAGCAGGAGGUGAGGUCCGUCGAAGGAAGAAUGCUACCCCGGCUCAGUCCGCACAAUCCACAUUAAAGGUUAACCCGGAGGCACCAUGAUGGACUUUUAGGUGAUGUUCUCACUUACAUUUUCAUCUGAACCACCAUGACGUUAUGAUAGAGUAGAUUGCAGCUAAGCAGACAUGGUGCUAUUUUACAAAUUGCUUCAGAUACUGGCAUCCUGUAGGGUGCUAUUUUUGCUUGUAUCCUUGCAGAUCCAGCAGUUGUUGGCAUAGCAAAUGUAUAUGUUUGUGCAUGUGGCAACUGAUUUGAUUCGCAACAGGGAGUCAGGAACCAGCUGAGCGGCUCGGUUGGCUUGCUGAACACCGGGUAGCGCCUGUGCCCGGCGGUCUGAACCGAAGUGAGCCUACGACCAUACACAUCCUGGGACUUGAAGAAAGGGCAUCCGCGUGACUGGUGGAACAAGAAAGCCAAAUCAGAAAUCUGUGGGGGAGAUCAACAUGACUUGAAAUAAAUUAGUAGAACAUGUAUCCAGGCUUCUCCCGCUUCCGAGCUAUAUUUGUUACCAGCUCAUGGCCACCGAAAAGGCACGAUGUGGAAGGAAGAAGAACCUGAGUAGGGACAUCAGUGGUUGUUUGGAUUAGGAGAAUUUAAGUUGGGUCUUUAGAAAAACAGUUUUAGGAGAAAUUCUAGGGAAACUAGUUUUAGUUAAUUAUUUUGUUAUGCAAUUCUUUGUUUGGAUCAAGAAACCACUUCUACAAAACUCUGUUUGGGUUAAAUCCUUUGAAGAACCACUUUAUUAGACGCCUGACCCUCGCUCCAGUGUAUGGGCAUUGACAUGGUUCUGUCUGCCGUGGUCAUGCUCAGUGCCGAGAGCUGCACAUCGCCGCUAGCGGCGCCUCCAUGUCGUGCAGCAUCGUGUCGCCGCAGUUGGUGUUCUAGCUAGUGCCACGAGCUGCGGCGUUGUGCCUCUCAGAAGGCGUUCAAUCAGCUGAGCCAGAUGGCGUUCCGGUACAAAUUGUUCAUGUAGAACAUGCCCAGCGUUGCCGGCUCGCUACUGUUCUGCGGCCAGGCGCUGUCAAAACUACCAAAGCGGGCUCCUGUGCACCUGAGGAGGGUCAGGUGGACCAAACUGGCUUGGUUUACUUGUAUUUUGGUUUAUCUUCUUUUGCUUUGUAGAUUGAACAAAAAAAAAUCUGAAUAUAUAGUUUCUUUGACACA